GACGAACCGUGCGAACGUUGUUCGGAAUCACUGGGCUUAAAGGGCGCGUAGGCGGGUUUUCAAGUCCGGGGUGAAAUCCUCCCGCCCAACGGGAGAAGCGCCUCGGAUACUGAAGACCUCGAGGAGGGUAGGGGCAAGCGGAACUAUGGGUGGAGCGGUGAAAUGCAUUGAUAUCCAUAGGAACUCCGGUGGCGAAGGCGGCUUGCUGGACCCUUUCUGACGCUGAGGCGCGAAAGCCAGGGGAGCGAACGGG
rnacentral:rRNA from 1 species